rnacentral:rRNA from 1 species
GGUUAAGCGACUAAGCGUACACGGUGGAUGCCCUGGCAGUCAGAGGCGAUGAAGGACGUGCUAAUCUGCGAUAAGCGUCGGUAAGGUGAUAUGAACCGUUAUAACCGGCGAUUUCCGAAUGGGGAAACCCAGUGUGAUUCGUCACACUAUCAUUAACUGAAUCCAUAGGUUAAUGAGGCGAACCGGGGGAACUGAAACAUCUAAGUACCCCGAGGAAAAGAAAUCAACCGAGAUUCCCCCAGUAGCGGCGAGCGAACGGGGAGCAGCCCAGAGCCUGAAUCAGUGUGUGUGUUAGUGGAAGCGUCUGGAAAGGCGCGCGAUACAGGGUGACAGCCCCGUACACAAAAAUGCACAUACUGUGAGCUCGAUGAGUAGGGCGGGACACGUGGUAUCCUGUCUGAAUAUGGGGGGACCAUCCUCCAAGGCUAAAUACUCCUGACUGACCGAUAGUGAACCAGUACCGUGAGGGAAAGGCGAAAAGAACCCCGGCGAGGGGAGUGAAAAAGAACCUGAAACCGUGUACGUACAAGCAGUGGGAGCACGCUUAGGCGUGUGACUGCGUACCUUUUGUAUAAUGGGUCAGCGACUUAUAUUCUGUAGCAAGGUUAACCGAAUAGGGGAGCCGAAGGGAAACCGAGUCUUAACUGGGCGUUAAGUUGCAGGGUAUAGACCCGAAACCCGGUGAUCUAGCCAUGGGCAGGUUGAAGGUUGGGUAACACUAACUGGAGGACCGAACCGACUAAUGUUGAAAAAUUAGCGGAUGACUUGUGGCUGGGGGUGAAAGGCCAAUCAAACCGGGAGAUAGCUGGUUCUCCCCGAAAGCUAUUUAGGUAGCGCCUCGUGAAUUCAUCUCCGGGGGUAGAGCACUGUUUCGGCAAGGGGGUCAUCCCGACUUACCAACCCGAUGCAAACUGCGAAUACCGGAGAAUGUUAUCACGGGAGACACACGGCGGGUGCUAACGUCCGUCGUGAAGAGGGAAACAACCCAGACCGCCAGCUAAGGUCCCAAAGUCAUGGUUAAGUGGGAAACGAUGUGGGAAGGCCCAGACAGCCAGGAUGUUGGCUUAGAAGCAGCCAUCAUUUAAAGAAAGCGUAAUAGCUCACUGGUCGAGUCGGCCUGCGCGGAAGAUGUAACGGGGCUAAACCAUGCACCGAAGCUGCGGCAGCGACGCUUAUGCGUUGUUGGGUAGGGGAGCGUUCUGUAAGCCUGUGAAGGUGUGCUGUGAGGCAUGCUGGAGGUAUCAGAAGUGCGAAUGCUGACAUAAGUAACGAUAAAGCGGGUGAAAAGCCCGCUCGCCGGAAGACCAAGGGUUCCUGUCCAACGUUAAUCGGGGCAGGGUGAGUCGACCCCUAAGGCGAGGCCGAAAGGCGUAGUCGAUGGGAAACAGGUUAAUAUUCCUGUACUUGGUGUUACUGCGAAGGGGGGACGGAGAAGGCUAUGUUGGCCGGGCGACGGUUGUCCCGGUUUAAGCGUGUAGGCUGGUUUUCCAGGCAAAUCCGGAAAAUCAAGGCUGAGGCGUGAUGACGAGGCACUACGGUGCUGAAGCAACAAAUGCCCUGCUUCCAGGAAAAGCCUCUAAGCAUCAGGUAACAUCAAAUCGUACCCCAAACCGACACAGGUGGUCAGGUAGAGAAUACCAAGGCGCUUGAGAGAACUCGGGUGAAGGAACUAGGCAAAAUGGUGCCGUAACUUCGGGAGAAGGCACGCUGAUAUGUAGGUGAAGUCCCUCGCGGAUGGAGCUGAAAUCAGUCGAAGAUACCAGCUGGCUGCAACUGUUUAUUAAAAACACAGCACUGUGCAAACACGAAAGUGGACGUAUACGGUGUGACGCCUGCCCGGUGCCGGAAGGUUAAUUGAUGGGGUCAGCGCAAGCGAAGCUCUUGAUCGAAGCCCCGGUAAACGGCGGCCGUAACUAUAACGGUCCUAAGGUAGCGAAAUUCCUUGUCGGGUAAGUUCCGACCUGCACGAAUGGCGUAAUGAUGGCCAGGCUGUCUCCACCCGAGACUCAGUGAAAUUGAACUCGCUGUGAAGAUGCAGUGUACCCGCGGCAAGACGGAAAGACCCCGUGAACCUUUACUAUAGCUUGACACUGAACAUUGAGCCUUGAUGUGUAGGAUAGGUGGGAGGCUUAGAAGUGUGGACGCCAGUCUGCAUGGAGCCGACCUUGAAAUACCACCCUUUAAUGUUUGAUGUUCUAACGUUGACCCGUAAUCCGGGUUGCGGACAGUGUCUGGUGGGUAGUUUGACUGGGGCGGUCUCCUCCUAAAGAGUAACGGAGGAGCACGAAGGUUGGCUAAUCCUGGUCGGACAUCAGGAGGUUAGUGCAAUGGCAUAAGCCAGCUUGACUGCGAGCGUGACGGCGCGAGCAGGUGCGAAAGCAGGUCAUAGUGAUCCGGUGGUUCUGAAUGGAAGGGCCAUCGCUCAACGGAUAAAAGGUACUCCGGGGAUAACAGGCUGAUACCGCCCAAGAGUUCAUAUCGACGGCGGUGUUUGGCACCUCGAUGUCGGCUCAUCACAUCCUGGGGCUGAAGUAGGUCCCAAGGGUAUGGCUGUUCGCCAUUUAAAGUGGUACGCGAGCUGGGUUUAGAACGUCGUGAGACAGUUCGGUCCCUAUCUGCCGUGGGCGCUGGAGAACUGAGGGGGGCUGCUCCUAGUACGAGAGGACCGGAGUGGACGCAUCACUGGUGUUCGGGUUGUCAUGCCAAUGGCACUGCCCGGUAGCUAAAUGCGGAAGAGAUAAGUGCUGAAAGCAUCUAAGCACGAAACUUGCCCCGAGAUGAGUUCUCCCUGACCCUUUAAGGGUCCUGAAGGAACGUUGAAGACGACGACGUUGAUAGGCCGGGUGUGUAAGCGCAGCGAUGCGUUGAGCUAACCGGUACUAAUGAACCGUGAGGCUUAACCUU